CAAGCGUUGUCCGGAUUUAUUGGGCGUAAAGAGCUCGUAGGUGGUUCGGUAAGUCGGGUGUUAAACCCCCAGGCUCAACCUGGGGACGCCACUCGAUACUGCUGUGACUAGAGUCCGGUAGGGGAGCGUGGAAUUCCUGGUGUAGCGGUGAAAUGCGCAGAUAUCAGGAGGAACACCAGCGGCGAAGGCGGCGCUCUGGGCCGGUACUGACACUGAGGAGCGAAAGCGUGGGUAGCAAACAGG
rnacentral:rRNA from 1 species